AUUGAACGCUGGCGGCAUGCCUUACACAUGCAAGUCGAACGGUAACAGGUCUUCGGAUGCUGACGAGUGGCGAACGGGUGAGUAAUACAUCGGAACGUGCCUAGUAGUGGGGGAUAACUACUCGAAAGAGUGGCUAAUACCGCAUGAGAUCUACGGAUGAAAGCAGGGGAUCGCAAGACCUUGUGCUACUAGAGCGGGCGGUGGCAGAUUAGGUAGUUGGUGGGAUAAAAGCUUACCAAGCCGACGAUCUGUAGCUGGUCUGAGAGGGCGAUCAGCCACACUGGGACUGAGACACGGCCCAGACUCCUACGGGAGGCAGCAGUGGGGAAUUUUGGACAAUGGGCGCAAGCCUGAUCCAGCAAUGCCGCGUGCAGGAUGAAGGCCUUCGGGUUGUAAACUGCUUUUGUACGGAACGAAAAGCCCUGGGUUAAUACCCUGGGGUCAUGACGGUACCGUAAGAAUAAGCACCGGCUAACUACGUGCCAGCCGCCGCCGUAA
rnacentral:rRNA from 1 species